rnacentral:tRNA from 1 species
GCGGGUGUAGCUCAGUGGUAGAGCUUCAGCUUCCCAAGCUGAGAGUCGUGGGUUCGAUCCCCAUCACCCGCUCCA